rnacentral:rRNA from 1 species
UACGAAGGGGGCUAGCGUUGUUCGGAAUUACUGGGCGUAAAGGGCGCGUAGGCGGCCGUUUAAGUUAGGUGUGAAAGUCCUGGGCUCAACCUGGGGACUGCACUUAAUACUGGAUGGCUUGAAUUCGGGAGAGGAUAGCGGAAUUCCCAGUGUAGAGGUGAAAUGCGCAGAUAUCAGGAGGAACACCAAUUGCGAAGGCAGCUCGCUGGGACGUGACUGACGCUGAGACGCGAAAGCGUGGGGAGCAAACAGG